GUGGCUAAACCUCCUCGUCAAUGCCCAAUCUUGUAUGAUCUUGGAAGAUGAGCAGGGUUGGGAUUGGUUAGCGCUUGGACGGGAAACAGUUGGGAACAGCAGGUGUCACAAUGA
rnacentral:rRNA from 1 species